GGGGGGGGGGGGGGGGGGGCCGGGCGGAUGCAAGUCGAGCGAACUCUUCGGGGGGGGUGGCGGGCGGGGGGGGGCGCCGGGGGAACGGGCGUGUUGGGUCGGAAUAGCUCAGGGAACCUUGUGCUACUACCGAAUGUGCCCUUCGGGGGAAAGAUUUAUCGCCCUUAGAGCGGCCCGCGGCUGAUUAGCUAGUUGGGGAGGUAACGGCUCACCAAGGCGACGAUCAGUACCUGGUCUGAGAGGAUGACCAGCCACACUGGGACUGAGACACGGCCCAGACUCCUACGGGAGGCAGCAGUGGGGAAUCUUGCGCAAUGGGCGAAAGCCUGACGCAGCCAUGCCGCGUGAAUGAUGAAGGUCUUAGGAUUGUAAAAUUCUUUCACCGGGGACGAUAAUGACGGUACCCGGAGAAGAAGCCCCGGCUAACUUCGUG
rnacentral:rRNA from 1 species